UACGUAGGGGGCUAGCGUUGUCCGGAAUCAUUGGGCGUAAAGAGCGUGUAGGCGGCCCGGUAAGUCCGCUGUAAAAGUCAAAGGCUCAACCUUUGAAUGUCAGUGGAUACUGCCGGGCUAGAGUCCGGAAGAGGCGAGUGGAACUCCUGGUGUAGCGGCGGAAUGCGCAGAUAUCGGGAGGAACACCGGUGGCGAAGGCGGUUCUCUGGGCCUUACCUGACGCUGAGGAGCGAAAGCGUGGGGAGCGAACAGG
rnacentral:rRNA from 1 species